rnacentral:RNase_P_RNA from 1 species
CGAUCGCACGAAAGUGAGGAAAGUCCGAGCACCACAGGACAAGAGCGCCGGCUAACUACCGGUGAAGGUGACUUUAAGGAAAGUGCAACAGAAAUAUACCGCGGAAACGUAAGGUUGGAAAGGCGAGGUAAGAGCUCACCGCUCGAUCGGCAACGUUCGAGGUCAAUGUAAACCCCGCUCGGUGCAAGUAAGGGAGGUCAACGCUGUCCGCCACUCCCGAAAACGCUGGAACCUAUCGGUAACGUUAGGUCAAGAAAGAUGAUCGUCAAAUACGGAACUCGGCUUAUAGAUCGGUCU